UCUCCAGGUGCCUCCUUGCCCAGCCCUUGGCAACACCACCACCAGGACCGUUGGGAUAAAUUUCCUGAAGUCGGUGGAACUCAAUCCUUUUACACCAGAAGAGAUUUUGUCUCAUCAUCUGUUGCUCCACGUUCUCCCCAGCAGAUGGGCUGCAGUGAUGAUGUCACCUCACCUCCUGGCACUUCAAAACACUCCUUUGGUUUGUGUGUGUGUGUGUGUUUUAACACUUUAUCCUUCUAGAAAAGCUCUAAACACUGAAAUCUUAUCUUGUGCCUGGUGUGCUGCUUAAAUCAGGAAUAUCAGCUGCUGAACAGAGCUCUUUAAUUAUGUUAUUUAACACUACCUAAAUAAUUGAAUCUGGGUAGGGCUUCAGAAACACUGGCUUUUAUUUCAUCUCUAGGGGCAGGAUUUGUACUUACCUUAUUUCAUUGCAGUGUCCAGGAGCAUCACCCUGCAGGCUCUUGUGUGCUUUGAUUCAAAACAUGAAAAAUAUAGGAAAUAUUUCUACCUCCUAAUAACAGGUCGCCUUCAAGGCAUAUUUGUAGCUUCUUAAAUGUCUGCUUCCAUAGAUUAAACAGGAGUGUUGACCCCAUAGCUGGUUUGUGUAAGCUUAGAUUUUGUUUUGGGAGGCAUCUACAUGCUGGUAAAAAAUCGUCAAUUAAUCUCACUUAGAAGGGGCACAAGGGAAUGUGGGUUUUUAUUGUAUUUUAUACCUGGCUUUGUUCUUAAAGGGCUGUGUGAUACUGGGCAAC